GGUUGGAUCAUUAAAGAUGUUUUGGUUGAGCGCUGGAGGCAUGUCUAUAGUGGGAUUUGGUCUGAUAUGGUCAAAGUUAGUGAUUUGGUGAAGUUGACCCUGGCAACUACAAUCAUCAUUGUUUCAAUGGUGCUCUUGGUUUAGUCUGGAUUCUUGAUUUCACAAAAUGCUAAUGGACUGUGGAAGGACUGGAUCUCCAGACUGUGCGGAAAGUGUUCCCUUUGAAACGUUCAAUUUGUAUCUGCAAAUGAGCAUUAGCCCAUUUGUGGAGACUUUUUGAGGUUUGCAUCUCGUGUGCACCGAUUAUUGUAUUUUGGGUGGACCCUGGUAUACUGGCCUGUAAAAAGGUCUAGAAUAUCACACCACCCAACACUAAACCUCUUGUCUUACUUCCCUAUUCAUGUUAGUUCUGGAUGCGUGCCAAGGGUUGCCGGAAACGCGUAAAGGCGAGCCGUGCGUAAUAGGUUUCCGAUUGGUUCUGUCCGUGAGGAACUAGCCCGGAGUAACAUGAAUAUAUGGUGCCUGCCAUUGUUAAGUCUGGAUGCGUGCCAAGGGUUGCCGGAAACACGAAAGGGUGAGCCGUGCGUAAUAGGUUUCCGAUUGGUUCUGUCCGUGAGGAACUAGCCUGGAUUAACAAUGUGUGGGUUGAUUUAUGUGUGCACAAAUUAUUGUUGUUGGGUGGUCCCUUGUGUUUUGACCUUCUUUUGUAAGGUUCAGAAUCUCAACCCCAUCCACGUUUAAACCUUUUGUCUUUCUUUCUGACUUAUUUUCACCUUGUGUGAAAAGCAAAAUAUUACAACUUCUGGCAACGGAUCUCUAGGCUCUCGCAACGAUGAAGAACGCAGCGAAAUGCGAUACGUAAUGUGAAUUGCAGAACUACGUGAAUCAUCGAAUCUUUGAACGCACAUUGCACUUUUUGGUAUCCCGAAAAGUAUGCCUGUUUGAGUAUCAAUACAUCCAUCCUACCCCUACUGUGUAAAAGCAGCAGUGGUGGGGAUUUGGGAUUUCUGCUAGGUGAAGAAAUUCACAAUAUGGUAGUUUCCUUAAAUAGAUUCAAUUGGUAUAGCAUCUAGAAGAAGGCAUUGUAUUGUCCUAGAAGACUUUGCAAAUCCACUUUUCUAGCUGGGUUAUAAUUAUAUUGGGACCGGGGUCCUUUCUUAAUUACUUUCCUGGUGUUUGAUUAAUGGUUUUCAAAGGCUUUUAAGGCAUUGCCCUCUACUGUGUUUUUAUUGAUUGUAUUGAAACCUUAGAGUGAUCUAAGGACAUUCAUUAUGUGCUGCAGUUAGCUCACAUAUUGUAUCAAACUUGGUCUCAAAUCAGGCAAGAGGACCCGCUGAACUUAAGCAUAUCAAUAAGCGGAGGAAAAGAAACUAACAAGGAUUCCCCUAGUAACGGCGAGUGAAGCGGGAAAAGCUCAAAUUUGAAAUCUCCCUGGUUCCCAGGGCGAAUUGUAGUUGAUAGAAGCGUUUUCGGAGUUAUGCUAGGCUUAAGUCACCUGGAAAGGUGCAUCAUAGAGGGUGAGAAUCCCGUCUGUGGUCUAGUAAUAACUCUAUGUGAUACGUUUUCUAAGAGUCGGGUUGUUUGGGAUUGCAGCCCUAAAUGGGUGGUAAAUACCAUCUAAAGCUAAAUACCAGCGAGAGACCGAUAGCGAACAAGUACCGUGAGGGAAAGAUGAAAAGAACUUUGAAAAGAGAGUUAAAUAGUACGUGAAAUUGCCAGAAGGGAAACGCUUGAAACCAGUUGUGCGUCUAGAAUUCAGCCAGUCUUUUGACUGGUGCAAUUCACUUGAUGCAGGUCAUCGUCAGUUUAGUUUGGAGUAAAAAGUGUUAGGAAGGUAGCCUUCGGGUGUUAUAGCCUAACUCUAUGCUCUGGACUAGACUGAGGGUAUCGCGGUGGUCUUUGAAUUUGGGAGGUUCACUUCUUACCUGUUUGCAAACUACUUGUAGAUUGCAAAUAAGGGAGAUUGAUUCCUUUCUCUUUCUAUUCCACUUCAGAUGAUGACAAAAUGGUAUCAAACGACCCGUCUUGAAACACGGACCAAGGAGUCUAACAUGCAUGCGAGUUUUUGAGUGUCAAACUCGAGAGCGUAAUGAAAGUGAAACUGGUGUGAUCCCGCAAGGGUGCAACAUCGACCGGUCUGGAUUUUUUUGAUAGAUCUGAGUAAGAGCAUGCCUGUUAGGACCCGAAAGAUGGUGAACUAUGCCUGAAUAGGGUGAAGCCAGAGGAAACUCUGGUGGAAGCUCGUAGCGAUUCUGACGUGCAAAUCGAUCGUCGAAUUUGGGUAUAGGGGCGAAAGACUAAUCGAACCAUCUAGUAGCUGGUUCCCUC
rnacentral:misc_RNA from 1 species